UAAAAUUAUUUUCUUCAGCAAUUUAAUAGAAAACGUAAUUAAAUGAUUUGUCAUGAGGAAAAUAAAGUCAGUAAUUAUGAUUUUACGAGACACGUCAUUAUAAUUUAGCUGAUUACAAUUAUAUUCCAUUAAAUACUGCAUCGGAAAGAGCGGUCGCUUGAAUAUGAAAAAUUAUAUGGCAGUUUUAACCCUGCUGUUGCUAUUAAGUGAGUUUUCAACGAGGACCACUAGACGAUGGACCACGAAGAGACCACUUGAGCAGAUCCUGCCACCGCUGGACAGAACUGUGCCUUGUGACAAAUGCCCUAACGUUUAUUUUCCUGUGUGCACGACCACUAACGAAACUUUCAUCAAUAUAUGCCAAAUGAAUUGUCAAAGGAAAAACCUUAAAGUUGCCAGGCGAGGCAUUUGCAUAGACUUCUGAAAGUUUUUAAGUUUUUAUACGAAUUUUGAAACUGUCUUUCAUGUUUGCUGCU
rnacentral:misc_RNA from 1 species